UACGGGGGGGGCAAGCGUUGUUCGGAAUUACUGGGCGUAAAGGGCUCGUAGGCGGCCAACUAAGUCAGACGUGAAAUCCCUCGGCUUAACCGGGGAACUGCAUCUGAUACUGGAUGGCUUGAGUUUGGGAGAGGGAUGCGGAAUUCCAGGUGUAGCGGUGAAAUGCGUAGAUAUCUGGAGGAACACCGGUGGCGAAGGUGGCAUCCUGGACCAACACUGACGCUGAGGAGCGAAAGCCAGGGGAGCAAACGGG
rnacentral:rRNA from 1 species